rnacentral:lncRNA from 1 species
AACUAAAAUAAACAAUAAAAUUUAAGAGCUAAAAAAAACGUAGAAUACAAAUGUAAUCACCUACACCGAAAUGCAUGUUAAUAAAGAUCACAUGAGUUCAAAACAAUGAAACUCUAAUCAUAAUCGAUGCAGUUUAAACAUAUUUAGCACAUUUUCAUACACUAUAAACAUAACCCAGACAGUAGGAGCUUCCCAAUUCUGUGUCUCGCACGUGUUGCUUUCUAGGUGAAGGUGGAGAGAAUGCAGUCUGUGUCUGCUCCAACAGCAGGCACAAAAGAUUUACUGGCACCACCGAAUAGAGAACCUCUUGUGAAUUAUUCGCAGAUGGAUUACUGGUUGAUGAACUGAGUCCAGAAGUCAUAUUUCCAGAACUUGAUAGCCCGAAUGAUACAAAAUUGGUAGUAGUUCUUCCGGAACUUAGAUUAGCAAAAACAUCCAGCAAGCUGCACAUGUAGUAAACGGAAUUUAGAUUGUAUUCUCAUAGAAAUCAAUGUCAUCAACAAUGAGUAAAAGAACAGAACUUGCAAACAGUUGGAAAUCAUUUUCUAGUCUGUAUGCAUAGAACUAACCUGCUAGAGUUUUCUUGUAUACCGGGUCCGGUGCUUGAUUUGGGCAUCAAGGAAGGGAACUUAUCUACAAUAUGAAACACUUUGAAUGAACUAGAAGGAUUCCAAAUACUGAGCUGAAUAAAAUAUAAUUAUAUACACACAUAAAAGUUCAAUCUCCUUACCUACAGAGCACUAAUUCUAAAUGCUGCUCUGUUUUGAGGUUGAGACAAACCAUUUUCGACAUCAUCUGAAGUUCAAUCUCUCAACCAAAAAAGCUUACAAAGGACACUAGCAGUGUCACUGUUAUUUACAGGUAGUAUGUGUGAGAAGGGGAAGAAGUUUCUACCUAGAUAGUCCUUGAUCUUGAGGAGUAGAAACAUGAGUAUCCAAUAAACCAGUACUACUCUCAAAUUUGUGAUCGUCUUGGACAUUCAGCACUGAAACACAAAAUAGAUGCAUACUAGUGUAAACAAUUGCAACUAAAACUUUCAAAGAUAUAAUGAUCCAAGUAUACCUUGGAGUUGGGCUCAAAUUUUUACUACAAUUUUCCUAGAACUGUAAGAGAUGUUGAGGGCACGGUAGUAGGCCUGACUUCAAGGCUAGAGCCACAACUUCCUCUGCUCUACUGUUCCCUACCAUCAUUUUAAGCCACUCGACAAGAUUAACCUGCCACAGACACAAUUAUUGAUAUUGUUACUCGAAGGGGGUGGCCAGCUUCCCGGUCACUCUGUCUGGAGUGGCAUACAUCCCGAUUUACUAAGAAUUUACUAGCUAUGCUUAUCGAAUAUAAGUAAUUAAAUUAGCACCUCAUUGGCUNAAGGUGGAGAGAAUGCAGUCUGUGUCUGCUCCAACAGCAGGCACAAAAGAUUUACUGGCACCACCGAAUAGAGAACCUCUUGUGAAUUAUUCGCAGAUGGAUUACUGGUUGAUGAACUGAGUCCAGAAGUCAUAUUUCC